UCUCCGUAGGUGAACCUGCGGAGGGAUCAUUACCGAGUGAGGGCUCAGCCCGACCUCCAACCCUUUGAAGUGACCGUCUCUGUUGCCUUGGGGGUGACCCGGCCUCCGUGUCGGGGGCCCCAGAGGAUCCGUCCAUUCUGCGUCUUUGCGUCGGAGUUGGCAGCGAAAUUGAAUUAAAAACUUUCAACAACGGAUCUCUUGGUUCCGGCAUCGAUGAAGAACGCAGC
rnacentral:misc_RNA from 1 species